rnacentral:lncRNA from 1 species
CAUGGCAGUUGAUCUCUUCUUUUCGAUCGAAUUCAACAUCAGCCAACUUGGGACUUUGAGGGUGCUAUUUUCUUCUUUUUUUUUUCUUUUGAUUUUGCUUUUGAUUUCUUUUGAUUUUGAUUUUUUUUAUUUUGCACCCUCUUCUUUCUCUUUUUUUUUUCUCUUUUUCUCUUUUUUUUUUUGAUAAUGCCCCAGUUGGCUGUUCUGCUGAUUCUCGAGAUGCAGCUGAGUGAUCUUCUUUUCUUGCUCAAGAAGUCGGGAAAUCUCGUCAGGAAUUCCUUCAACAUCAUCUUCUUCCGCUUCGAAUACAGGGAAUUCAAAAUUGGGAGAUGACGUC